rnacentral:misc_RNA from 1 species
AACGCAAAUUGCACUCUCUGGUAUUCCGGAGAGUAUGCCUGUUUGAGGGUCAGUGUAAUAAAAUAAAUCGUGGUUGUUACCACCUCUCGUGGUGACGCUUCGGAAUUGAGUUGUCUUAUCUUUCGAUUAAGUGACUUAAAAUUUUUUAUACGAUUUCGAAACGUAUUUAACGUUAUGGUACGUUCACGAAUAUCGAAUGUUUAUUAGGUGCGGUCAUUCUCAUGAUUCGCGUCUAUAAUUUUUCUUUUUUUUUGACCUCAAAUCAGGUAAGAAUACCCGCUGAACUUAA